UGGCCAGGUAGCUCAGUUGGUAGAGCACGCGGCUGAAAACCGCGGUGUCGGCGGUUCGAUUCCGCCCUUGGCCACCAU
rnacentral:tRNA from 1 species